rnacentral:lncRNA from 1 species
ACGCCUUAAUGUGAUUAAACGCGUAACUAAAAUCAAUCACCAUCCCUAGACCGAGAUUCAACACAAGACUCGUGUUGAAUCUAAACAAAGGUUCAUAAUCAUCCUAAGGCCCUAAGGCAACUAUAUAGUCCAUCAAUGAAUGCAAACCUUAUGUUAGUAGUAUCAUAUACUCUUACUUUAAAAACCGUUUUAUAAGCAUAGUGGGAGUAUUAUAUACAACUAAAACAAUCAAAUGGACCAAUAGUUGUAAUAGGACCAAAAUUGUUUUAAUAUAGAUUAAAAUGAAUGUUUAUAUGUGAUGAGACCUAAAAACCCUCAACCAAACCAUUAUUAAGUUGAUAAGCGAGAGAUGUUUGGAAUAUCUCUUCGUGGCCUUCCACCGUGGUAGCUCCAAUCGUUUAUGACUUGUACACCGCCUUCACCCUAUCAUGGGGAAGUACAAAGUGCAUGCUUAUACUCAGGAGGAGUCUAUACACAUACUUGAUGAGGUGAGUGUAGGCAACGAGGAUGGCCAACAUCAUAUCAUUGUGAGGCUAUUCUUGAACCCCUUCAUGAACUAAGCAUAGUGGGAAUGACUUAACUAAGUGCAAUGGAGCCAACAUCAUAUCAUUGUGAGGUGACAUUCUCUAGAGGCCAAAUAAGAUGGGUACUUGCAUUAGAUGCAAAUGAGUAAGCGUACUCUCUCAUUAUUAUUAAUGCUAGCCAACAUCAUAUCAUUGUGAGGUGGGCUUGGUAGUAGUGAGUCUCCCAUACCCUACUAAGAGUUUCCUCCAAAACUCUUGGAUUCCAAUGAGGGAUAUGGAAUUUGCCAAAAAUAGUGGGUGGUGCUAUUUGAUUUAAAGACCCGAAUCAAAUGGCUUAAAAUCAAUCAAUUUAUAUUCGUUAUGUAUUUGUUUACCAAUUUAUUUGCAAACGCUAUCCAACACUUGACAAAUAAAAGCCGAAAGCUUUAGUUUUCGAACUUGGUACUACAAAACCAUAGAUUGUCUUUAAUGGCUUGUAAAUGUACCUAAGUAGUCUCAUCCUCACAAUCUUCCUAUUGAUAAAGUAUCAUUAGAAGAAUAUGUUAGAUAAAGUUUAUCAUAAAGAGGACAACACUUUUAAUGUCAUAAUUCUUCAAUUACAAAAUGUUGUAUAAAGAAAUAAGAGUUGUUUUGAACAACCCUUAAUCAAUGCAAACAUUAGUGCUUGUUUCUUUGUUACAUGAACAAGGAACUUUAGAAGAAAUCACAAAGGCAUGGACACUUUAUGUGCCAUGAUUCUUCACUUGCAAAUUGUUGUAUGAAGAAAUGAGAGUUGCCUUGAACAACUCUUGAAAGUUUGUAAUUAUGUUUAGAACA